AUGGUGUUGGUGGUGACUGCGAGCCCCGGCGGGCCCGAGGUGCUGCAGGUGCGCGAGGUCGAGGAUCUCUUGGUGCCGGGGGAGGGAGAGCAGCUUGUUGGGGUGUCCGCUGCCAGCGUCACUCACGACAACACGGUCCAGCGGCAGGGCCGGUACUCGCCGCUGGCCGGCGCCUCCCCCUACCCGGGGCUUGAGUGCUCUCGCACCAUCGUCGCGCUUGGGGCUAAUGCCCCCCGCGCUGGGCCGUCGGUACCAAGUGCCAAGCAUGCCCCCAUGGUGAAUUUGCUGAUGGCCGCUGCUGCUCUAAACCUCACUUUUUUGCAUAAGCUGUUGCAUUUGCAUGUGUACGCGCUGCUUACUGGCGGCGCGUAUGCAAAGAAGGUUGUGGUCCCGGCAGGGCAGCUUCUACCGACGACAGGAAGGGGGGUCGCUGACUGA
rnacentral:rRNA from 1 species